rnacentral:ncRNA from 1 species
AGGGGAAUGCAGACUCCCCGUUAGACGGUCGCCGUCCAAGCUCUGC